rnacentral:rRNA from 1 species
UACGAGGGGGGCGAGCGUUGUUCGGAAUUAUUGGGCGUAAAGGGUGCGUAGGCGGUUUGGUAAGUCUUGUGUGAAAUCUUCGGGCUCAACUCGAAGUCUGCAUGAGAAACUGCCGGGCUUGAGUGUGGGAGAGGUGAGUGGAAUUCCCGGUGUAGCGGUGAAAUGCGUAGAUAUCAGGAGGAACACCGGUGGUGUAGACGGCUUUCUGGACCGUAACUGACGCUGAAACACGAAAGCGUGGGUAGCAAACAGG